CGCAAAUGAUAUAGUUAGAUAAUGAUGACACGUAAUAAUAAGCGAGUAUAUUUCUAAAGUUAAACACUUCAUUUACUUAUUUAAAGAACUCAGAUACUGCUUAAUUGUUUUUAUUUUGUUCCUUUCAGGCAUCAUUGACAUAAUGAUCAUGGAUAUUUUACUGAUGUCAUGACGUUGUGGAUAUGAUGACGAUCACAAUAAGAGAUUGAGACUAUUAGUUUACGACCAUUAGGUUGGUGAGAGGGCCACCAUGGCGUAAAUGAUAUAGUUAAUUAAGAUGAUGAUUAAAAUGAUGAUUAAGAUGUUGAUAAGAGAAUGAGACUAUUAAGUUUACGACCAUAGGCUAGUGAGCGGGCUGCCAUGGCGUAAAUGAUAUAGUUAAACAAUGAUGUCAAGUAAUAAUAAGUGAGUAUAUUUCUAAAGUUACGCUACAUUUACUUAUUUAAAGAACUCAGAUACUGCUUAAUUGUUUUUAUUUUGUUCCUUUCAGGCAUCAUUGACAUAAUGAUCAUGGAUAUUUUACUGAUGUCAUGACGUUGUGGAUAUGAUGACGAUCACAAUAAGAGAUUGAGACUAUUAGUUUGCGACCAUUAGGUUGGUGAGAGGGCCAACAUGGCGUAAAUGAUAUAGUUAAUUAACAUGAUGAUUAAAAUGAUGAUUAAGAUGAUGAUUAAGAUGAUGACUAAGAUGUUGAUUAAGAUGUUGAUUUGAGAAUGAGACUAUUAAGUUUACGACCAUAGGCUAGUGAGCGGGCUGCCAUGGCGUAAAUGAUAUAGUUAAACAAUGAUGUCAAGUAAUAAUAAGCAUCAUUGACAUAAUGAUCAUGGAUAUUUUACUGAUGUCAUGACGUUGUGGAUAUGAUGACGAUCACAAUA